GCAAAACUCCAUCUCACACAAAAAAAAAAAAAAAGAAAGAAAGAAACUCAUGAUUUCUUUUAUAUACCAUAACAAAUUUUUGAAAAUUAAACACGGUCCGGGGCACAUAGAACACAUCCACACCCAUAUAUAUCCCAUGCACUGUUGAUUUAUAGCCUCAGGGGUAGUGAUGAUUUGAUGUCAGGUUGCUAUUUAGCCAGCGUCUGUUAGCACUGGUUAUUUACAACCAGAGUCUAUUCUGACUGUUAAAUAUUUUGAACAACCCCGCUAAGCAGUAAUGAAUAGAAAAGGUCUAGCCUUGUGCCUGGCUCAUAGAGAGCACUCAGGAAAAGGUAGCUGUUAUUAUCAUUGAUAACAUAAAAAAAUUACAGUACUUAGUAUCAACAAGAUCCCUCAACUGUUCUGUAUUUGGUAUGAUUUUCCACUGAAUUCUGUCUUGAAUUCCUUCAUGUGGGUUGAACAAUGACUUUCAAAGUACGGUGACCGGGCUGGACUACAUACUUCAUAACAUUCUGGUAUCAGCUCUAAAGGAGCAGGCGCUUCCAUCAAUCUCCUUAAACUGAAUUAGAAAUAAUAAUAGAUGAUACAUCAUCCAGAUGCAGUGGCUCAGGCCUGUAAUACCUGCACUUUGGAAGGCUGAAGCAGGCAGAUUGCUUGAGCCCAGGAAUUCAAGACCAGUCUGGGCAACAUGGCAAAACCCCAUCUCUACAAAAAAUAUAAAAAUUAGCGGGCAUGAUGGCAUCCACCUGUAGUUCCAGCUACCCAGGAAGCUGAGGUGGGAGGAUCUUGAUCCUGGGAGGUUGAGGCUGCAGUGAGCCAUGAUCACACCACUGGCACUCCAGCCUGGGCAACAGAGAAGACCCUGCCUCAGAAAAAAAAAAAAAAAAGAUAUGCCACCUACCCAUUUGAUCCGGCCUGCCUCUAUGCCGUUUACAUUGCAGAUCCAUUGCAUUAGAGCCCCCACCACAAUCCCAGGAUUUUAUAUUUCUCCUUUCUCACCACUUCUUAACUGUCUGCCACUUCCAAAAGGCCCGUGGUGAGCGUGUUCAGAGUUCCAUGUGCCUUGUGGGAUGUGAAAAGGCAUGCGUGUAUCUGUCAGCAUUCCUGAUUCAUGCAUGCUAUUAAAUAGAGUGUGGUGAGAGAAAAAAUAAGGAACAAUAAAAGAGGAUUAUAUUCAAACAUCAGUGAAGGGUGCUAUUAUUGGAGGUUCAUUAAAAUAACUGUAAAUGGAGUUUUUUUUAAGUUGUUCUCAAUGCCAUCUUUUAUUGUGGCAAGGAGCUAUUUACAGAGCAUUGUUUGAAACUGUAUUGAAAUACACUCGAUUUGGUGUAUUGUUGCAGAGAACAAAAGUCAUUUUUGUAAAAUGUUCGUCUGAUUGUGUCUUGCUUUAAAACUCCCAGAUGGUUCUCUGUUCCCCAGUCUAGUAUCUAUUGCUCCUUGGCAUAUGUGGCUUUUGAGGUCUUCCAAUGCUAGACCUCUGCCCUCUUCCUAGAUUUAGCUCCUGGCUCCAAGAGCAGCAUUCGUGGGCCUCUUUCAUUUCCUCAGACAUGCAGUGCCUUGUUUUCCCUUGCCUGCUUCGUCUGUGCAGGGCCAUGCACCUGCGAUGCCCAAAGCCCUUUCCUAUGCUCUCACCGGCCCCCUGAUCCCCACCAUGCCUUUCCUUUUCCCUCUCAUCAAAUCAGUAGAGCCUCUUAUUGAUAUCUCAGUAGAGAUCUGCUACUGUUCCAUCAACAAACUCAUCACAUGUUGUAAUAACGUGUUCAAUCUCAUGCUGUCUUUUUGACUACUUUAAGAUUGUGACUUUCUCAGUGUCAAAUCCCAGUGCCUAGCAUAGGGUUUAGCAUAUUACAGGUGCUCAAGAAUUCUUACUGAAUGAAUGAAUGGCCAUAAAACAAGAGGCUAUAAUACACUGUGCUGUGGAACAUAAAGGAGUCUUCAGGGAUAUAUAUUAGAGUGCAUGGUGUUUUUCUUCUGUACAGCAGGGUUUCGCAAAUAAAUUGGUUGUUGUGUAAGUUACUACCCUAUUUAUAAAGGGCUGUAAUUUGGCUGCUGAAUUUGCAAACUGUCAUGGCAUCAUGUGGUUUUGCAGUGUGUGUUGGGAGAGUGCUGGUAAAGGAUCUGAAGAUGUAAUGCAUUGAAUCGUUAGACUCUGGGUAGAGAGGUCUGCAGAUUCCUACAGUCUAACCUCACACAGUCCAAUCCAGUGCUACAGAUGCCAUGAUAUAGCUGAGCAGAGCGUCUUAAACUUUAAUGCACACACACGAGUCACGUGGGCAUCUGGUUUACAUUCUUACUCAGCCAGUCUGGGGUGGGGUUUGAGAUUCUGCAUUUCUCACAGGCUCCCAGGGCAUAGGACGCUGUGGGACCAGGGACUCCAUCUUUGUGUAGCAGCGGCUAGAACUCCGUGCUGCAGGGUGCAGCAGGCCUGUGAGUUGAUUGGCAGAUCCUAUUGUAGUCAGUGCAGUAGGUAGAGCCUGUGUAGUAAGGGCUGUAGUGAAGGGGUAUAUACAGUUAAGUAUAGAAUGUUCUGGUGAAGCUAUGGUUCAGGGCACACAGCAGGCUAUUGCUGGUCAGCUUGUGGUGGGAGGAAGGUGAUGGUUUGGGUAUUGAAGGGCAGACUGUGUUGCAGAGUGCAUGAUGGAGAAGUGGUUUCAGUAUUGAAGGGCAGACUGUGUUGCAGAGUGCAUGAUGGAGCAGUGGUUUGGGAAGAAGUGCGUGCUGAUUCUGUCCUCCAGUGGGGAUGUUGUCAGAUAUCAAGUCAUCCUUUCAGAGGGUGCUGAGGUUAGGUUCUCUUCUAGGUGCUGGGGACACAGCAUUAAAAAUAGUUAAAAUCCCUGUCCUCAUGGAGCUUAUAUUCUAGGGAGAGUAGGCAAAAUAAUAAACAUAGAAACAAAUGAAAUGUACACUGUGUCAGAAGUUGAUAAACAUUAUGCCAGAAGCUGAAGUAGGAAUGGAGAUUGGAAGAGCCAGGUCAGGGAGAUGUCCAUAUAAUAGAGGAGGUGGAGAAAAUGACAUUUCAGCAAAUACAGGAAGAAGAUAAGGGAGGUGAGAGCCAUAUAUAUAUCUGGAUGAGAGGGAAGAGUGAUUUGGGCGGUAGUAGCAGAUGCAAAGGCCCUGAGGCAGGAGCUUGCCUGGCAUGGUCAAGGGGGAGUAAGAAGUCCAGGUGACUGAGCUGAGGGGUUGAGGGAAAAAGGAAAAGGGAAUGAGAUUAGAGAGGCCAGGGGAAAGCACAGACCACUGAAGGAUCUUUGGCUUUUACUCCAGCUCAUGAGCCAAGAAAUAACAUGUUCUGACUUUGGGUUUUUAAAGGAUUGCUCUAAGUGCUAUAGGGGCAAGGGCAAAAUCAGGGAGACUGGUGAAGACUCUUGCCAUAAUCCAGGCAAGAAGUGAUAGGAGCCUGGACAGGUUGGAGCUGUUUGAGAACCCCCAAGUUGUGCUCAUUUUGACAUCUCCAGGUCCUCCCCACUUCCUGGCACCUUGUAGGUAUUCAGUCAUUGUCUCAUAGGGGCAUGAAGGCACUGAUGAACGUGAGUCCCUGCAGACUGCCCACAUGAUUGCUCCUCAAGUAUAAAACAUGGUAGCCAAGUGUUUGGUCCAGCAAUAGGAUGAAUGAAUGAAAAAGAUGGUCAGGAAAGCUUCUGUGGUACAGAGGGCUGGCUUGCAGGGCAUCAAGCAGGAGCACAUGGUUGUGCACUUGGCUGGACUUACUCCUGUCAAUGCAAAGGAUGUAGUGAUAUCGGAGGGUGCUGUGGCUGAGGGCUGUGCCCAGGGAAUGCCCUUGUGUCUGGGAUCCAGCUCAGCAUUUUGCUGACUUGUAGCAAAAGGUGCAUUGAGUCUUCGGCAUGUGUGAGCAUAUGUUGUUGCAGAAGUAGUAGUACAAGGGGCUAUAAUGCCGCAGGACAAGAUAUACUAGGUAAUAUGUUCACAUUGAAAUGCCUAAUGGAGAGUUUGAUGUCAUUCAUGCGUUGUCAUGAAUUGCCUUAAUGAGGUCCUGUCACCCUUCCUCUGAAAGGCUCCCAUAGUGUCCAUUACACCUAACGGAGGGCUCACUGUGAAAACUGGGUAGGGGGAUGGGCCCGGGGCACAAGGAUUCAGCUGCGUAAGAAGACAACCCAGCUAGCAGCAUUGAAGCAGCAAGGUGAAGGGGAAGAGAAAGCUAAGUCGGCUUCAUUACAGUCUGGGGAGUUUUCUCUGCUUUUUAUUUAUUUGUUUUUUCUGUUUUUUUUUUUUUUUUAAUU